GAUGAAGAACGUAGCGAAAUGCGAUAAGUGGUGUGAAUUGCAGAAUUCAGUGAAUCAUCGAAUCUUUGAACGCACAUUGCGCCCUUUGGUAUUCCAAAGGGCAUGCCUGUUCGAGCGUCAUUUGUACCCCCAAGCUUUGCUUGGUGUUGGGCGUCUUGUCUCUAGCUUUGCUGGAGACUCGCCUUAAAGUAAUUGGCAGCCGGCCUACUGGUUUCGGAGCGCAGCACAAGUCGCACUCUCUAUCAGCAAAGGUCUAGCAUCCAUUAAGCCUUUUUUUCACCUUUUGCCCUCGGAUCAGGUAGGGAUACCCGCUGAACUUAAGCACAUCAAUAAGCGGAGGA
rnacentral:misc_RNA from 1 species